AACGAACGCUGGCGGCAUGCCUAACACAUGCAGGUCGAACGAAGCCUUCGGGCUUAGUGGCGCACGGGUGCGUAACGCGUGGGAAUCUGCCCUUGGGUUCGGAAUAACAGUUAGAGAUGACUGCUAAUACCGGAUGAUGUCUUCGGACCAAAGAUUUAUCGCCCAAGGAUGAGCCCGCGUAGGAUUAGGUAGUUGGUGGGGUAAUGGCACACCAAGCCGACGAUCCUUAGCUGGUCUAAGAGGAUGAUCAGCCACACUGGGACUGAGACACGGCCCAGACUCCUACGGGAGGCAGCAGUGGGGAAUAUUGGACAAUGGGCGAAAGCCUGAUCCAGCAAUGCCGCGUGAGUGAUGAAGGCCUUAGGGUUGUAAAGCUCUUUUACCAGGGAUGAUAAUGACAGUACCUGGAGAAUAAGCUCCGGCUAACUCCGUGCCAGCCGCCGCGGUAA
rnacentral:rRNA from 1 species